rnacentral:misc_RNA from 1 species
ACAGAUCUUGUUUAAAAUUUGAUGAUGUUGAUGAAACUGCAGCACUAUGUGCAUGAGUUAUGGUGUUCUUGUUUGAGAAUGUGCCAGCUGCUCGCCGAUUUAACGUUUGCAAUCUGUCCGAAACUUGACCCUGCCAUUUUGAUAUUUUUUGACGAUAAGAUUUAACUUUCUCUUGCUCGCUAAAGCUGAUAUAAGAAGGCACAGGUGUUGAAGUUGCUUCGACAAGUAUUCGUUGNNNNNNNNNUGGACAAUCGCAUCGUCAACCAAACCCCAUUCUUCGGCCCUUACGGCCUUGGCAAUCUCUUCUUUGGCCAAAUCGAAGAACCCCUUGAGCUUAUAUGCAGCGCGUUCAUUUGUGAUCGAAGUCCCAGUUACACCUUCCAUUGUUCCAGAGCUAGGAUUUCCUUCUUCAACUGGAGAUGCAGAGCUAUACGAAGAGAGGACGGAGCCCAGAGA